CCUACGGGAGGCAGCAGUAGGGAAUCUUCCGCAAUGGACGAAGGUCUGACGGAGCAACGCCGCGUGAACGAUGAAGGCCUUCGGGUCGUAAAGUUCUGUUGUUAGGGAAGAACAAGUGCUAGUUGAAUAAGCUGGCACCUUGACGGUACCUAACCAGAAAGCCACGGCUAACUACGUGCCAGCAGCCGCGGUAAUACGUAGGUGGCAAGCGUUGUCCGGAAUUAUUGGGCGUAAAGCGCGCGCAGGCGGUUCCUUAAGUCUGAUGUGAAAGCCCCCGGCUCAACCGGGGAGGGUCAUUGGAAACUGGGAAACUUGAGUGCAGAAGAGGAAAGUGGAAUUCCAAGUGUAGCGGUGAAAUGCGUAGAGAUUUGGAGGAACACCAGUGGCGAAGGCGACUUUCUGGUCUGUAACUGACGCUGAGGCGCGAAAGCGUGGGGAGCAAACAGGAUUAGAUACCCUGGUAGUCCACGCUGUAAACGAUGAGUGCUAAGUGUUAGAGGGUUUCCGCCCUUUAGUGCUGAAGUUAACGCAUUAAGCACUCCGCCUGGGGAUACGGUCGCAAGACUGAAACUCAAAUGAAUUGACGG
rnacentral:rRNA from 1 species